CUUCACAAACGAAGGUAACAACUUCUUUUAUAAACAACAAUUUUAUAAUUACUGAGCUUUUUUUCUUUUUCGUUUCUUUUCUUUUGUUGUAAAAAGGCACAGACGAAUUGCAGCAUUUAAAACAUGGACAACAGAAUACUGAAGCUACAGCAGCUGUUCUACAAAAAACAAAUCAGCUGAAACGUCACUGUCUUUCAGUGACAAACCUGUAUAAUGCAUCUGCAAAUACUAAAUGAUUUGCAUACUGUGAACUGAGACAGACACACAGUAGCCACAAAAGUGCUAUUUUUGAUUUAGGUUAACACUUGCAUGCUGCAGAUGCAAAUGUUUACCUUCUAACAGAGACUGAGCUCUCAAAACUGUGAUAUUAUUUUUUUUAUUUUCUUGACUUUAAUUUUUUUUUCUUUUUUGCAGGUGUGGAAACUCCCUGUUAUGGCAGACAGGAUAGAGCUCAGUGUUUUGGAGUUUUGGGAGGAAGUAUAGACAUACAGCUGAUGAACGGCACCUCAGAAAUACAUAAAUACAAAUAUUUAAAGAAUUCAUUAGUACUACUAUAUGUGUCAGACAAACAAGUUCAGGCUAAUACCAUAGGACACAGAUCUCUCAUUUUCCACGUUAAUGGAACAUUUAGGAUCAACAACUUGAGCAGCAAUGACAGUGGUAUUUAUACCCUUCAAACCUUUGAUGCAGCUGCAAGAUCAACAGGCGAGUGGACUUUACAGUUGUUUAUUCAAGGUAAUUAUUUUCCCUGUUCGGAGAUUAAGAAUAGAUAUACAUCUAAUAGCAGCAUAUAUGUUCUUCAUUUAAAAUAACAAGAAAUGACCAGGAUCCUGUUAUACUACCAAAAUUCAUCUGUGUGUUUCUCUCAGCUCCUGUGUCCUCUGUCCUGCUGGUCUCUGAGUGUCUGUCCCAGGGAGAGAGGAGGGUGUCCUGCUCCUCUGAGGGAGGGGACAGUCCUCAGUACAGCUGGACUCUGGAUGGACGCACACUGACAGAUGCUGAGCUCCUUUCUGUAAAUAAUGAGACUAACAUCAUCACUCUGAAACAGCACGUCUCAGGACGUCUGGUCUGCUCAGUCAGGAAUUACAUCAGUAAUGUCUCCAAAGAGGAGAGAAUAUCUAUCUGUGGCUUCAUUUUCAUUAACUGCACCUUAGUCAAUGGGACACAGAUAUCAGGGUGGGUGCAUGAAGCCAAUAAAAUCCUGUGUAUUAAACCAACAACACAACUAACACGAGACCCUAAAAUGAUCACGCAAACUGCUGUGACUGAAGGGACUGACAGAGUGCCAAUUGAAAACCCGAAUGAUAUCCUCAGUCCAGCUUUCAGCAGUGCUCAGCUGUGGUACAUUACGUUCCUAAUUUUAUUAGUUGUGGGUGUAGCAGUCAUCUGGGCUCAGAGAAAAAAGCAAAACAACAAACCUACAAAACAAAAAGAUGAAGAAGAUGAUGAGGAAGUAACCUACGCUGAUGUCAGGGUGAUGAAACACCGGGAGAAGGAAAUGGAGCAAAAAUCGGAGGUGGAGGUGGAGUAUGGCCAAGUCAAGUUUUCAAAGCGACCUCUGUACACUGAACCUACAGAAGAUGACUGUUUGUAUGCCAAUGUUCAAAAAUCAGAUGAUUUGAGUGAUCAUUGCUUUUAUACAUACUGCACAACAGAGUGAGACGGUGAUGUCAAGAUGCUUCAGGUGAUUCAGAAAAAUACAAACCAUCAAAGCUCAUAUUGAUUUAUGGAUCUUCUUUACUUUCACUGCACUUCUCUAUCACAACAGAACAUCAGUACAUCUAUUGGAGCUUAUAUUUGUUUUGGUAAAUGGACUGGUUCUUAUAUAGCGCUUUUCUACUCAUCUGAGCACUCAAAGCGCUUUACACAACUUGUGCAUUCACCCAUUCACACAAAGUGCUUCAUAGCUAACAUUCACAUACUUCGAUGGAUGCAUCUGAGAGCAAUUUGGGGUUAGUAUCUUGCCCAAGGAUAUUUGGCAUGUAGAUAGGGGAAGCCAGGAAUCGAACCACCAACCUUCCGAUCAGUGGAUGACCUGCUCUACCACCUCUGCUACAGCCACCUCGUUUAUUUUAUCACCAAAAUAUUUGUGUCCCACUUGUGAAUGACUAUUCUGCCGCUUGGUGUUCCCACAGUACAAUCAUCCUGUACCCUGUGCUGAGAGAAACACACCCAGAUGUCUUUUGAUCUGAUUUCUUUGUAGUCGUUAAUGAAAAAGUGCAAAAUACACAUAUCUGGUAUUGUGUGAGAUAUAUCAUAUAUAUAUUUUUUUUUUUCAAAAAGUGUUUAAUUUAAAUGUUAAACUUGACUGAUGAUUUUCUAACUGAAUAAAAGAUUUUAC
ensembl:lncRNA